rnacentral:sRNA from 1 species
GUGAAUCGGAGUGAGAAUUGCAUCAAAUUUAAAAUAUUUAUUGUGUGAGUGAAAUUGUGUAAGCAAGUAGAAUUGAUUGAGUAUUGAAUGAGUAGGUAUGUAUACAGACAGAGUUCAUCAGAGCAACAUUAUAAGACUGUGUUUGUAAUUUGUGUUAUUUCUUUUUAUAAAUUUCUUUUUUAACAUCUUACCAAAAAUCAAUGGGAAAGGUCUUUUAUUUUGAACAUUACAUAAUUCAUUGCAUAUCUUUGAUAAUGGGAUUUCUUAAUAGAAAGUAGAGUUUGUUGACAAGCAAAUGCAAUGAUUGAAGCCAAAAAUUCAAAUAUUUUAUGUUGCUGGAACAAUGUGAUGAUUUAUACGGCUUUUAUUAAUUUUGUCCGUCCAUAAUUUGUUUGAUUUUGAAUCUUACUUUCAUUUUCCAUUUACGCAUUAUUCGUGUGAAGUUUUCCCCACAUAUUGUCAUCAGUUUUUGUGCCAAAAGCAAGAAAUCUCCAGUGAAUGUGUAUCUAUAGACGUGUCAGCCCCAGGCUUUGUGUGAGGAGUGAGGCAUUCUGAGAGUGAAUGAAGUUUGUAAUUGACUCUGUAGAUAGAUUGGGCUUUGAAUGAGGAAAGGAAGCAACAUGCAUCGCAUGCAGGGUAUUCAUAUUUUAUGUUUUACUUUUCAGCCUUGAUGGUAAUUGAUUUUGGCCCCUUUCUAUAAGAUUGAAUUUUUAUGAUUAAUAUAAUUUAUGUUGUUUGAGUCGUUUGCAAUAACCUUAAUGAAUUUAUAUCUAGAUCGAAGCUCAUUGAUUAUUUCACCCAAUCAUCAGUGAUCAUAUCACGCAUAUUACCUACCAUUCCGUCAUGUGUGGGAGGGGCCUGUUAUAAGGUGUGAUCUCAGGUAACUGAAGGAGCCAGUAUGUAACUGUAUCUUAGAUAGAUUAUUAGCUUCAGUCAAGAGUUUUCUGUAGUUGUUUUUGUUAGGUCACUUUGAAAUCACUUAAAAACAAAAACAAAUGGUUUUUUUGCAUUGUACUUGUAUAUUAAAGAUUUAAAUUUUCAAUUGAUGAAAUUUAGAAAUCAGUUGUAACAUAGGAAAAUGACUUCUGUUUGUGAAAAAGUGACUAGUUUUCCAGUUUUAGAAAAAAAGAUUGUAUCUGAUAGCCAUCAAGUAAUGUGAAUUAAUGAAGGUUUAUGAUUUGUCCCUACUUCGUCUAAUCUUAUCUAGACACUUAAUUUUAAAGCUUCUUUUUUUUAAAUUGUGUUUCUACAAAUAUUCAGUUGAAAUAAAAAUGAUAUUUUAGUCAAGUACAGUAUCUAUAUAAAUUUUGCAUUUAUUGAUGUAAGAUUCAAUAGAUUGAAAUUCCUUGGUAUGUCAUUUGUGUUUUGAGACCCCUUAUAUUAUUUAUGACUGGUCUUUGUUUUAGUCAUUUGGAGAAAAUUAAUUGCAAACAUUCAUGUGUUACUGUAUGAACAUGUUGUAAACAGUCUUGAAAAGUAUUCUUUAUUUUUUGCAAAUCCAAAUAUUUAUCGCAUCUGUACCCAUUGAUUGAAACGAAAUGUAUUUGAAGGAUAAAAAUAAGAUGUGAAUGAAAGUGUUCAUGCUUUUUAAUGCUGGUGCACGUAAUAUAAUUCAACCCCAUUUGUAUUCAGCAGCAUAAUCUUUCGAAAAUGCAUUCAUGUCUUGUGUGAUGUGAAAAAGGAUGUCAUGUUGAACUGAGAAGCGUGACUUUGACGCCCUGUAUAGGUUGAGUCUCGGCGACCGAAUCCUUCUCGGUGCCGGUAUAUGUCAAUGUGAUCUGAUACAAGAAGGCAACACAAGCAUGUCAAGCAGUGACUGCUUUCUUCUUUCAUUUGUAUUGUUUUUAAUGGUAAGAAUGUACUUUUUGUAAAUAAAAUAUUUAUUGUUAACAAU